GAAAUGCGAUAAGUAAUGUGAAUUGCAGAAUUCAGUGAAUCAUCGAAUCUUUGAACGCACCUUGCGCCCUUUGGUAUUCCGAGGGGCAUGCCUGUUUGAGUGUCAUUAAAUACCAUCAACCCUCUUUUGACUUCGGUCUAGAGAGUGGCUUGGAAGUGGAGGUCUGCUGGAGCCUGACGGAGCCAGCUCCUCUUAAAUGUAUUAGCGGAUUUCCCUUGCGGGAUCGCGUCUCCGAUGUGAUAAUUUCUACGUCGUUGACCAUCUCGGGGCUGACCUAGUCAGUUUCAAUAGGAGUCUGCUUCUAACCGUCUCUUGACUGAGACUAGCGACUUGUGCGCUAACUUUUGACUUGACCUCAAAUCAGGUAGGACUACCCGCUGAACUUAAGC
rnacentral:misc_RNA from 1 species